ACUAGUUGUGAUCAACAUGUUAGAAAAUUACCAAUCAAAGGCAUGCAUUUCCUGAGUAUAGGUCGAAGAAGUAUCGGGGAGAGGUGAUUAGACAGGACAUGGGUCACCUGCAGUUUAUUGAGGACAUGAACCUAGAUAGAAAGAUAUGAAGAUGGAGGAUCGGAGUAGAAGGUUUCAAUAAAAUGGGCGAUGUGAUGUCUCAGGUUCCCUUUUCAUCAAAUUGUUGCAACUUUGAUGGUUGAUAGUUAGCUUGGAAUACGACUUUGAGUAACCUAAAGAACUUUAUGAUGGACCAAUAUAUUGACCUUUGACUCAUAGUCGAAGAGUACAUGCACGAUCAAAAGGCGACUUUCAGGAUUCAGAGUCAAUAAAUUUAAAAUGAGUACAAUUUUAUAUAUAUAUAUAUAUGCACAUUUAAUUUAAAUAUUCUUGCAUAUAUAUACAUAGUUCGAAUCGCAAA